rnacentral:misc_RNA from 1 species
AGCUCAGCGCCCGCAGCCCGUCAGAGGCCCCAUCAGCAACACCGCCAUCAUGUCUAUCCGAGUCGUGAUUGUAAAAAGCAAAACUUUCAACAACGGAUCUCUUGGUUCUGGCGUCGAUGAAGAACGCAGCGAAAUGCGAUAAGUAGUGUGAAUUGCAGAAUUCAGCGAACGAUCGAAUCUUUGAACGCACAUUGCGCCCUCUGGUAUUCCGGGGGGCACGCCUAUUCGAGCGUCAUUUACACCCUCAAGCCUGGCUUGGUAUUGGGCUCCCGCCCGAGUGGGCGGGGCCUGGAACGCCUGCGGUGGGCGCUGGUCCCCUCUCUUGCACCAGAAGAAGCAUCUUCACGCGAGAGGGGGCCCCAGCCGCCGUCCGGAAAGCACCAAUCUUUUGACCUCGGAUUAGGCGGGAAGACCCGCUGAACUUAAGCAUAUCAAUAAGCGGAGGAAAAGAAACCAACAGGGAUUGCCCCAGUAACGGCGAGUGAAGCGGCAAUAGCUCAAAUUUGAAAUCCGGCCCUCGGGUCUGAGUUGUAAUUUGAAGAGGAUGCCUCGGUGCGGGCCCCGAUCGAAGUUCCUUGGAACAGGACGUCAUAGAGGGUGAGAAUCCCGUCUGUGGUCGGUGGCCCCUACCGUGUGAGGCUCCUUCGACGAGUCGAGUUGUUUGGGAAUGCAGCUCUAAAUGGGAGGUAAAUUUCUUCCAAGGCUAAAUAUCAGCCAGAGACCGAUAGCGCACAAGUAGAGUGAUCGAAAGGUGAAAAGCACUUUGAAAAGAGGGUUAAAAAGCACGUGAAAUUGUUGAAAGGGAAGCGCUUGCCACCAGAGUUGUCCGGGGGGUUCAGCCGACCUUCUGGCUCGGUGUACUUCCUCUCGGGCAGGCCCGCAUCAGUUCGGCCGGCCGGAUAAAGGCCGCGGGAAUGUAGCACCCUCGGGUGUGUUAUAGCCCGCGGUGCAAUACGGCCUGGCUGGACUGA